rnacentral:rRNA from 1 species
UACGUAGGAAGCGAGCGUUGUCCGGAUUUACUGGGCGUAAAGAGCGUGUAGGCGGCUUCACAGGUCCGCUGUGAAAACUCGAGGCUCAACCUCGAGCUGUCGGUGGAAACCGUGUGGCUAGAGUCCGGAAGAGGAGAGUGGAAUUCCCGGUGUAGCGGUGAAAUGCGCAGAUAUCAGGAGGAACACCUGUGGCGAAAGCGGCUCACUGGACCAUAACUGACGCUGAUGCACGAAAGCUAGGGGAGCAAACAGG